UUCCUAUUUCCCUCCUUUUUCAAAGGCAGAAAUCUCACCUCAAUCAAUGUCGGAAGAGGCUGAGAAAUUAACCCAUUUUCUUGAAGAAAUGCCCACCGCUUCUGCAUCCCCACGUAUUCAUCUACAAGGCUCCACCGUUGAUGAGCUACGUGUACAGACUCACUCGUCAGCUAUAUCACCGUCCAGUGAAGCAGUUUCUUGCACCUUCGUAUGGACGGUGAGGAACGGUGAAACGUCUUUUCAUGUUCUCCAUUUACUAUGCGACCUCUUAGAUGGACGCUCUGGAUCAUUACGUGGUAGGUCCGAAGGGCGAGCAGCUUGGGCGUUCCGAUUCUUAUGAGGAUUGUGGAAUCAUCAAGUGGGCCUCAUGAGUUUGAGAAAAAUGCGCGAUUAGAAGAAAAGACCAGUGGAAUGUACCCAACGUGCAAAUGACACCCAUCUGAUAAGUGUGGACCAGCCUGAUUUUUGGGCUACUGCAUCGCCCAGCUAAAGUAUGGCCCGGAUAUCUCACGCGUGCGACAAGUUGACACGUAUCUCACAUUGCACCUUGAAUCAAUUCAUAGCGGAAUGGAGGUGGAAGAACUUUCUCUGGCAUAUGUUGAAGGAGAGAUGGGAAGCUCGCUCCCAUCUUAUUUUAAACAUUGCAGUAGUCCUAAGAAGGAAGCGCUAUUUGGGGGUAAAUAUCAGCCGCGGAUCUUUGUUGUGUUGGAUGUGUAAAUAUGUGGUUAAAAUCUUGAAGAUAGAUUGCCACACAUCCAACGGUAGGCUUUUAGAAAAGUUAGUAGGGUGGAGAUUGGGUGGACCA